rnacentral:rRNA from 1 species
CCUACGGGAGGCAGCAGUGAGGAAUAUUGGUCAAUGGCCGGAAGGCUGAACCAGCCACGCCGCGCGAAGGUCAGUGCCCUAUGGGCGUUACACUUCUUUUGUGCGGGAGCAAUAAUGGUCACGUGUGGCCAGACGAGAGUACCGUACGAAUAAGCAUCGGCUAACUCCGCGCCAGCAGCCGCGGUAAUACGGGGGAUGCAAGCGUUAUCCGGAUGUAUUGGUUUAAAGGGUGCGUAGGCUGUGAGGUAAGUCUCCGGGGGAAUGCCCCCGCCCAACGGGGUGAAGUGCCAUUGAUAGUGCCUUGCUGGAGUGCGGAUGACGUGGGAGGAAUGUGUGGUGUAGCGGUGAAAUGCAUAGAUAUCACACAGAACACCGAUUGCGAAGGCAUCUCACGAAUCCGCGAUUGACGCUGAUGCACGAAAGCGUGGGUAUCAAACAGGAUUAGAUACCCCUGUAGUC